GACGAACGCUGGCGGCGUGCUUAACACAUGCAAGUCGAACGGAAAGGCCCUGCUUUUGUGGGGUGCUCGAGUGGCGAACGGGUGAGUAACACGUGAGUAACCUGCCCUUGACUUUGGGAUAACUUCAGGAAACUGGGGCUAAUACCGGAUAGGAGCUCCUGCUGCAUGGUGGGGGUUGGAAAGUUUCGGCGGUUGGGGAUGGACUCGCGGCUUAUCAGCUUGUUGGUGGGGUAGUGGCUUACCAAGGCGUUGACGGGUAGCCGGCCUGAGAGGGUGACCGGCGACAUUGGGACUGAGGUACGGCGCAGACUCGUACGGGAGGCAGCAGUGGGGAGUAUUGCGCAAUGAGCGGAAGCCUGAUGCAGCAACGCCGCGUGCGGGAUGACGGCCUUCGGGUUGUAAACCGCUUUCGCCGGUGACGAAGCGUGAGUGACGGUAAUGGGUAAAGAAGCACCGGCUAACUACGUG
rnacentral:rRNA from 1 species